rnacentral:lncRNA from 1 species
CAUGCCUCCAAGUAAAGUAAUUAAAGAGUCCCCACAAUAUUUGACACACAAGUUACACAGAUUUACAAAGAGCUUUACAUCUUUUACAUAAUUAAUAACACCAACAAUCUUGAGACCGGCCAUGCCUCCAAGUAAAGUAAUUAAAGAGUCCCCAAAAAAUCUUUUGUUUGCUCUCUGGCAGUUCAGGUAGCCUUAUCGUUGUUCUAUGUUUUUUUAAAUUAGUUGUGCCGACGUGUUCGUGUCAGUGUCAUGUCAUGUGUUCGUGUUGGAGCCUGU